rnacentral:rRNA from 1 species
GACGAACGCUGGCGGCGUGCUUAACACAUGCAAGUCGAACGGAAAGCGCUCUUCGGAGUGACUCGAGUGGCGAACGGGUGAGUAACACGUGGGUGAUCUGCCCUGCACUUUGGGAUAAGCCUGGGAAACUGGGUCUAAUACCGGAUAGGACUACAGCCUGCAUGGGUUGUGGUGGAAAGCUUUUGCGGUGUGGGAUGGGCCCGCGACCUAUCAGCUUGUUGGUGGGGUGAUGGCCUACCAAGGCGACGACGGGUAGCCGGCCUGAGAGGGUGUCCGGCCACACUGGGACUGAGAUACGGCCCAGACUCCUACGGGAGGCAGCAGUGGGGAAUAUUGCACAAUGGGCGCAAGCCUGAUGCAGCGACGCCGCGUGAGGGAUGACGGCCUUCGGGUUGUAAACCUCUUUCAGUAUCGACGAAGCGCAAGUGACGGUAGGUACAGAAGAAGCACCGGCCAACUACGUGCCAGCAGCCGCGGUAAUACGUAGGGUGCGAGCGUUGUCCGGAAUUACUGGGCGUAAAGAGCUCGUAGGUGGUUUGUCGCGUUGUUCGUGAAAACUCACAGCUCAACUGUGGGCGUGCGGGCGAUACGGGCAGACUGGAGUACUGCAGGGGAGACUGGAAUUCCUGGUGUAGCGGUGGAAUGCGCAGAUAUCAGGAGGAACACCGGUGGCGAAGGCGGGUCUCUGGGCAGUAACUGACGCUGAGGAGCGAAAGCGUGGGGAGCGAACAGGAUUAGAUACCCUGGUAGUCCACGCCGUAAACGGUGGGUACUA